GGCUUGGUAGUGUAAUGGAAACACAUCUCCUAACCAUAGCUCGUGGUAAAGGUGGUUUAUGGAAAAGUUCUCCGUUCAAUUCGGGGUCGGGCCG